rnacentral:rRNA from 1 species
UAUCUCUGUAGAGUCUGCAUAUCAAUAAGCGGAGGAAAAGAAACUAACUAGGAUUCCCUCAGUAACGGCGAGUGAAGCGGGAAGAGCUCAAAUUUGAAAUCUUCAAGGUUCUACCUUGACGAAUUGUAGUUUAAGGAAGUGUUUUCUGUUGGAGUUUUGGUAAAAGUUCUUUGGAAUAGGACAUCAUAGAGGGUGAGAAUCCCGUAUUUGACCAUUAUUUCCAGCUUUGUGAUACACUUUCAAAGAGUCGGAUUGUUUGGGAAUGCAGUCCAAAAUGGGUGGUAAAUUUCAUCUAAAGCUAAAUAUUGGCGAGAGACCGAUAGCGAACAAGUACCGUGAGGGAAAGAUGAAAAGAACUUUGAAAAGAGAGUUAAACAGUACGUGAAAUUGUCAAAAGGGAAGCGUUUGACACCAGUGUUGUCUUUCUGAAAAUCAAUUAAAGAACUGUUUAUGCUAAGCUGUUUAGACUUUAUCAGCUAUCUGUUUAGUUUUGAGCUUUUCUUUAAUGCACUUUUCAGUUAACAAGUCAACAUCAAUUUCUUUUGCUGUAAAAAAGCUUGAGGAAGGUGGCUUGAGAUUCGUCUUAAGUGUUUAUAGCCUCUUGCCUAUGCAGUCGGAGAGAUUGAGGUCUGCAGCGUAGAUCCUUCGGGGCUAAAUGCAUUUGUGCUAAGUUAUAGCAUUUUAUAGACAACUUGUUGACUAUGAUUUGUCUUGUAGCUUACUCGCUUAUGUUAUUUUACCUACGCUUAGGAUGUUGACGAUCAGCUGAGCGCG